CCACUUGAACCGUCAGCGGCGGACUAUAACAGAUCAUAAUCGUAGUUGUUUGGUGCAAGACCAUAGAAUGGUACCCAAUUUUGCCUGCCCUCAUUAGUCAUCACAAUAUAAAGGAUUUUACAUUUAGAAGACAAUCCUGCAAAUUUGCAGCUGUACAAAUUGCACUUCAUCUCAUCUGCUGCUGGAAUAAAUAAUGAAAGAUUUUCAAACCAGUGUCCAAGAGCCCCUUAGAGUCUGGAAUGAUGGUGUUCUUUAUUAAGGAGAUCAGUGUGUGAUGUAUUUGUUUUCUGUGCAUUGACGACAUUUGUGAAACUGUUCGGUUACUUUAUGACCAUCUCUCUGACAAAUACUUUGACAUUUGAAAUGCAAUUUGAGCGACGGACAAGUAGGCCAAAUAACAUGCAUGUA